CCUACGGGUGACAGCAGUGAGGAAUAUUGGACAAUGGACGCAACUCUGAACCAGCCAUGCCGCGUGCAGGAAGACGGCUCUAUGAGUUUAAAACUGCAUUUGUACGAGGGUAAACGCAGAUACGCGUAUCUGUCUGAGAGCAUCCUACGAAUAAGGAUCGGCCAACUCCGUGCCAGAAGCCGCGGUAGUACGGCGGAUUCAAGCGUUAUCCGGAUUUAUUGGGUUUAAAGGGUGCGUAGACGGUCGGGUAAGUUAGAGGUGAAAUCCCGAGGUUCAACUUCGGAAUUGCCUCUGAUACGGUUCGGCUAGAGAGUAGUAGCGGUAGGCGGAAUGUAUGGUGUAGCGGUGAAAUGCUUAGAGAUCAGACAGAACACCGAUUGCGAAGGCAGCUUACCAAGCUACUUCUGACGUUGAGGCACGAAAGCGUGGGGAGCAAACAGGAUUAGAUACCCGAGUAGUC
rnacentral:rRNA from 1 species